rnacentral:tRNA from 1 species
GGAGAGGUGGCCGAGUAGGUCGAAGGCGCUCGCCUGCUAAGCGAGUGAACCCCCAAAAGGGGUUCCGCGGGUUCGAAUCCCGCCCUCUCCG